CCUACGGGAGGCAGCAGUGGGGAAUUUUGGACAAUGGGCGCAAGCCUGAUCCAGCAAUGCCGCGUGAGUGAAGAAGGCCUUCGGGUUGUAAAGCUCUUUUGUCAGGGAAGAAACGGUGGUUCCUAAUAUGGACUACUAAUGACGGUACCUGAAGAAUAAGCACCGGCUAACUACGUGCCAGCAGCCGCGGUAAUACGUAGGGUGCAAGCGUUAAUCGGAAUUACUGGGCGUAAAGCGUGCGCAGGCGGUUAUAUAAGUCAGAUGUGAAAUCCCCGGGCUCAACCUGGGAACUGCAUUUGAGACUGUAUGGCUAGAGUGUGUCAGAGGGGGGUAGAAUUCCACGUGUAGCAGUGAAAUGCGUAGAUAUGUGGAGGAAUACCGAUGGCGAAGGCAGCCCCCUGGGAUAACACUGACGCUCAUGCACGAGAGCGUGGGGAGCAAACAGGAUUAGAUACCCUGGUAGUCCACGCCCUAAACGAUGUCUACUAGUUGUCGGGACUUAAUUGUCUUGGUAACGCAGCUAACGCGUGAAGUAGACCGCCUGGGGGAGGUACGGUCGCGAGAAGUUAAACGUUAAAAGUUAAGUAAGUUAGUACGGCGUAGAGAGACGACGACGACGACGACGGAGGGAGGAGG
rnacentral:rRNA from 1 species